rnacentral:rRNA from 1 species
CGCUGAGGCGCGAAAGUGUGGGGAGCAAACAGGAUUAGAUACCCUGGUAGUCCACACUGUAAACGAUGAAUGCUAGGUGUAGGAGGUAUCGACCCCUUCUGUGCCGCAGUCAACACAAUAAGCAUUCCGCCUGGGGAGUACGGCCGCAAGGUUGAAACUCAAAGGAAUUGACGGGGGCCCGCACAAGCAGCGGAGCAUGUGGUUUAAUUCGACGCAACGCGAAGAACCUUACCAGGUCUUGACAUCCAGUAAAAACCUGAGAGAUCAGGUGUGUCUUCGGACAUACUGAGACAGGUGGUGCAUGGUUGUCGUCAGCUCGUGUCGUGAGAUGUUGGGUUAAGUCCCGCAACGAGCGCAACCCUUGUGUUCAGUUGCUAACAGGUGAAGCUGAGAACUCUGAACAGACUGCCGGGGACAACUCGGAGGAAGGUGGGGACGACGUCAAAUCAUCAUGCCCCUUAUGACCUGGGCUACACACGUGCUACAAUGGCCACCACAGAGAGGGGCAAGCCCGCAAGGGGGAGCAGAUCUCAAAAAAGUGGUCCCAGUUCGGAUUGUGGGCUGCAACCCGCCCACAUGAAGUCGGAGUGCUAGUAAUCGC